rnacentral:tRNA from 1 species
GGAAAAUUGGCAGAGUGGCUGAUUGCACCGGUUCGCUAAAUCGGUAACGCAAAAAAAGCGUUCGGAGGUUCGAAUCCUUCAUUUUCCG